rnacentral:rRNA from 1 species
UAUUGGUCAAUGGUCGUAGGACUGAACCAGCCAAGUAGCGUGCGGGACGACUGCCCUAUGGGUUGUAAACCGCUUUUGCAGGGGGAUAAAGUGAGGCACGGGUGCCUUUUUGCAUGUACCCUGAGAAUAAGGACCGGCUAAUUCCGUGCCAGCAGCCGCGGUAAUACGGAAGGUCCGGGCGUUAUCCGGAUUUAUUGGGUUUAAAGGGAGCGCAGGCCGUGGAUUAAGCGUGACGUGAAAUGCCGUGGCUCAACCAUGUAAGUGCGUCGCGAACUGGUCUACUUGAGUGGGUACGACGCCGGCGGAAUUCGUGGUGUAGCGGUGAAAUGCUUAGAUAUCACGAAGAACCCCGAUUGCGCAGGCAGCCGGCGAAUCCCUUACUGACGCUAAUGCUCGAAAGUGCGGGUAUCGAACAGGA